AUUGAACGCUGGCGGCAUGCCUUACACAUGCAAGUCGAACGGUAACGGGCCUUCGGGUGCCGACGAGUGGCGAACGGGUGAGUAAUGUAUCGGAACGUUACCUUCAGGUGGGGGAUAACGUAGCGAAAGUUACGCUAAUACCGCAUAUUCUGUGAGCAGGAAAGCAGGGGAUCGCAAGACCUUGCGCUGAUUGAGCGGCCGAUAUCAGAUUAGCUAGUUGGUGAGGUAAAGGCUCACCAAGGCGACGAUCUGUAGCGGGUCUGAGAGGAUGAUCCGCCACACUGGAACUGAGACACGGUCCAGACUCCUACGGGGAGGCAGCAGGUGGGGUAAUUUUGGACAAUGGGGGGCAACCCUGAUCCAGCCAUGCCGCGUGAGUGAAGAAGGCCUUCGGGUUGUAAAGCUCUUUCGGCCGGGAAGAAAUCGUAUGGGUUAAUACCCUGUGCGGAUGACGGUACCGGCAUAAGAAGCACCGGCUAACUACGUG
rnacentral:rRNA from 1 species